rnacentral:rRNA from 1 species
AGAGUUUGAUCCUGGCUCAGAUUGAACGCUGGCGGCAUGCUUUACACAUGCAAGUCGGACGGCAGCGGGGUAGUGCUUGCACUACUGCCGGCGAGUGGCGAACGGGUGAGUAAUAUAUUGGAACGUACCGAGUAAUGGGGGAUAACCAAUCGAAAGAUUGGCUAAUACCGCAUACGCUCUGAGGAGGAAAGCAGGGGACCUUCGGGCCUUGCGUUAUUCGAGCGGCCAAUAUCUGAUUAGCUAGUUGGUGGGGUAAAGGCCUACCAAGGCGACGAUCAGUAGCGGGUCUGAGAGGAUGAUCCGCCACACUGGGACUGAGACACGGCCCAGACUCCUACGGGAGGCAGCAGUGGGGAAUUUUGGACAAUGGGCGCAAGCCUGAUCCAGCCAUGCCGCGUGUCUGAAGAAGGCCUUCGGGUUGUAAAGGACUUUUGUUAGGGAAGAAAAAGGAGCGGUUAAUACCCGUUUCUGCUGACGGUACCUAAAGAAUAAGCACCGGCUAACUACGUGCCAGCAGCCGCGGUAAUACGUAGGGUGCGGAAGCGUAAUCGGGAAUACUUGGCGUAAAGCGAGGCGCAGACGGUUACUUAAGCAGGAUGUGAAAUCCCCGGGCUUAACCUGGGAACCUGCGUUCUGAACUGGGUAGCUAGAGUAUGUCAGAGGGGGGUAGAAUUCCACGUGUAGCAGUGAAAUGCGUAGAGAUGUGGAGGAAUACCGAUGGCGAAGGCAGCCCCCUGGGAUAAUACUGACGUUCAUGCUUCGAAAGCGUGGGUAGCAAACAGGAUUAGAUACCCUGGCUAGUCCACGCCCUAACGAUGUCAGAUUAGCUGUUGGGCAGCUUGACUGCUUUAGUAGCGUAGCUAACGCGUGAAAUCGACCGCCUGGGGAGUACGGUCGCAAGAUUAAAACUCAAAGGAAUUGACGGGGACCCGCACAAGUAGCGGAGCAUGUGGUUUAAUUCGAAGCAACGCGAAGAACCUUACCUAAGUUUGACAUCCCUCGGACAGGUGUUUAAUCACACCCUUCCUUCGGGACUGAGGUGACAGGUGGUGCAUGGUUGUCGUCAGCUCGUGUCGUGAGAUGUUGGGUUAAGUCCCGCAACGAGCGCAACCCUUGUCAUUAGUUGCCAUCAUUUGGUUGGGCACUCUAAUGAGACUGCCGGUGACAAGCCGGAGGAAGGUGGGGAUGACGUCAAGUCCUCAUGGCCCUUAUGACCAGGGCUUCACACGUCAUACAAUGGUCGGUACAGAGGGUAGCCAAGCCGCGAGGUGGAGCCAAUCCCAAAAAACCGAUCGUAGUCCGGAUUGCACUCUGCAACUCGAGUGCAUGAAGUCGGAAUCGCUAGUAAUCGCAGGUCAGCAUACUGCGGUGAAUACGUUCCCGGGUCUUGUACACACCGCCCGUCACACCAUGGGAGUGGGGGAUACCAGAAGCAGGUAGGCUAACCGCAAGGGGGCCGCUUGCCACGGUAUGCUUCAUGACUGGGGUGAAGUCGUAACAAGGUAACC